UCAAAUAUUCAUUUCCAGCAAACAUAAAGAGAAGAAGAACUCCAUCUUCUCUAAAUUUCCUAAAACUUCUAUUCAUCACCAAAGCUUCAUUUAUUGUCCAUUUUGAGCGAUUUUCGCGGCGUUGGAACGAGGGAAGGAUUCCCUACUGAUCUGAGACUUCAAUUCAAGAUUCUACGAACCAUAUGACUGACGAUUUGAAGGAAGUGGGUGAUUAAGCGACGUGCCGUUCAUUUUAUUUGCUUGUUAUUAUAUUUGGAUUAAGCGAUCGAGUGUUUUCUUUCAGGAUUAAUAUAUGACGAUGUGGUCGAGCUUCCAUUCAUUGUUCCGGAAGUCUCAGUUAUGGAAAGUUUUAUCCUUCUUAGAGCUGCAGUAGUCAUGAUAAUAGACCUAGCCGAUAGCAAAUGAUUUAUGUUGUUUUACGCCUUGUACUAUAAAUAUAUUUUCGAAAAGGAAAUUAUCCAGAAAUUUAAUAUAUGGUUAUUUGGUAUGUUAUACAGGGUGGUUUGUGUGUUUUUAA